GAACCCAGCUUGUUUCAAAUCCCAAACCCCUCCCUCGUCCCUUGGGCUGGUUUCUGAUGAACCUUCCCCGCCUGCAGCUGCUUUCAGAGGCGUGAAGUUAAUUUUCCUGUGAGCAGCAACAGCUGAGAACCUCAGAUUCGGUCGCUAGAGGACAAACCAUGGAGGCGAGUUUCAUUAUCAGCAUUUGGCUGUUUAUUCACGUAGGUGCGGUGCUGGGUGACUCGGUCCACUCUAAGGACUCCCAAAUGUCCGGAGUAGAAAGAGGCUCUGUGACUCUCAAUUGCGCCUACACUACCAGCUAUUCCAGUUCCCUCUCUCUCUACUGGUACCGCCAGUAUCCCAACCAAGCCCCGCAGUACAUUCUGCAGAGAGGCGCCAAGGGGAACACAUACGAUCAUACUGCAGAUUUCGCCAAGCAGAGGUUUUCUGCUCAGGCCGAUGACAGCUCCACAGUUCUGAACAUCACAGUCCUGGAGCCGACAGACACAGCGGUGUAUCUCUGCGCCCUGCAGAGGGCACAGUGACAGAGCCACAUAGCAGAUCUGUGCAAAAACCCUCUCUCCUUUCUGUAAAUGGAUUUAGAAGCAGGGGCCUUUGGCAGCUUUGUUAUACUGUGAAGAAACUCAUCAUUUGUAGUAAUUUUGGU